AGAGUUUGAUCCUGGCUCAGGACGAACGCUGGCGGCGUGCCUAAUACAUGCAAGUCGAGCGGACUGAAUUGGAGCUUGCUCCAAUGAUGUUAGCGGCGGACGGGUGAGUAACACGUGGGUAACCUGCCCUACAGACUGGGAUAACUUCGGGAAACCGAGGCUAAUACCGGAUAAUACUUUUUAACACAUGUUAGAAAGUUGAAAGAUGGUUCUGCUAUCACUGUAGGAUGGACCCGCGGCGCAUUAGCUAGUUGGUGAGGUAACGGCUCACCAAGGCAACGAUGCGUAGCCGACCUGGGAGGGUGAUCGGCCACACUGGGACUGAGACACGGCCCAGACUCCUACGGGAGGCAGCAGUAGGGAAUCUUCCGCAAUGGACGAAAGUCUGACGGAGCAACGCCGCGUGAGUGAUGAAGGUUUUCGGAUCGUAAAACUCUGUUGUUAGGGAAGAACAAGUACAAGAGUAACUGCUUGUACCUUGACGGUACCUAACCAGAAAGCCACGGCUAACUACGUGCCAGCAGCCGCGGUAAUACGUAGGUGGCAAGCGUUGUCCGGAAUUAUUGGGCGUAAAGCGCGCGCAGGCGGUCCUUUAAGUCUGAUGUGAAAGCCCACGGCUCAACCGUGGAGGGUCAUUGGAAACUGGGGGACUUGAGUGCAGAAGAGAAGAGUGGAAUUCCACGUGUAGCGGUGAAAUGCGUAGAGAUGUGGAGGAACACCAGUGGCGAAGGCGACUCUUUGGUCUGUAACUGACGCUGAGGCGCGAAAGCGUGGGGAGCAAACAGGAUUAGAUACCCUGGUAGUCCACGCCGUAAACGAUGAUGACUAACCGUCGGCGAUACACAGCCGGUGGCCAAGCGAAAGCGAUAAGUCAUCCACCUGGGGAGUACGACCGCAAGGUUGAAACUCAAAGGAAUUGACGGGGGCCCGCACAAGCGGAGGAACAUGUGGUUUAAUUCGAUGAUACGCGAGGAACCUUACCCGGGCUCGAACGGUGCAGGAAGAGAUCCAGAGAUGGUGACGCCCUUCGGGGCCUGCAUCGAGGUGCUGCAUGGUUGUCGUCAGCUCGUGCCGUGAGGUGUCGGCUCAAGUGCCAUAACGAGCGCAACCCUUGUCAGUAGUUACCAGCAUUUAGAGAUGGGGACUCUACUGAGACUGCCACCGCAAGGUGAGAGGAAGGAGGGGAUGACGUCAAAUCAGCACGGCCCUUACGUCCGGGGCGACACACGUGUUACAAUGGUUGCUACAGAUGGAAGCCACCCUGCGAGGGGGAGCGAAUCUCGAAAAGCAGCCUCAGUUCGGACUGGAGUCUGCAACCCGACUCCACGAAGCUGGAUUCGCUAGUAAUCGCGCAUCAGCCAUGGCGCGGUGAAUACGUUCCCGGGCCUUGCACACACCGCCCGUCA
rnacentral:rRNA from 1 species